UGACCUCAAAUCAGGUAGGACUACCCGCUGAACUUAAGCAUAUCAAUAAGCGGAGGAAAAGAAACUAACAAGGAUUCCCCUAGUAACUGCGAGUGAAGCGGGAAAAGCUCAAAUUUAAAAUCUGGCGGUCUUCGACUGUCCGAGUUGUAAUUCUAGAGAAGUGUUAUCCGCGCUGGACC
rnacentral:rRNA from 1 species